ensembl:snoRNA SNORD42 Small nucleolar RNA SNORD42
GGGCAGAUGAUGCAUGAUAUAAUUUCUGAUGAAUAAUGACAGACUCAAAGGAACCACUGAUGCCA